AGGAGAGCGCCGGGCCAUGCGGCAGACAGGCCGUAAGGGUGACGAGGUGAGGGUUUAUCGAAAGAUUCGGCGGGUGACCCUCUGGCUGUGGACCGCACAGUCAUCAGCAGCGGAGCAAAACCCGGCAGCAAUGCCGGAACAGAGAA
rnacentral:ncRNA from 1 species